AGAGCGAACGCUGGCGGCAGGCUUAACACAUGCAAGUCGAGCGGGCGUAGCAAUACGUCAGCGGCAGACGGGUGAGUAACGCGUGGGAACAUACCUUUUGGUUCGGAACAACACAGGGAAACUUGUGCUAAUACCGGAUAAGCCCUUACGGGGAAAGAUUUAUCGCCGAAAGAUUGGCCCGCGUCUGAUUAGCUAGUUGGUGAGGUAACGGCUCACCAAGGCGACGAUCAGUAGCUGGUCUGAGAGGAUGAUCAGCCACAUUGGGACUGAGACACGGCCCAAACUCCUACGGGAGGCAGCAGUGGGGAAUAUUGCACAAUGGGCGAAAGCCUGAUGCAGCGACGCCGCGUGAGGGAUGACGGCCUUCGGGUUGUAACCGUCUUCAGCUCCGACGAAGCGAAAGUGACGGUAGGAGCAGAAGAAGCACCGGCCAACUACGUGCCAGCAGCCGC
rnacentral:rRNA from 1 species